GACGAACGCUGGCGGCGUGCUUAACACAUGCAAGUCGAACGGAAAGGCCCUGCUUUUGUGGGGUGCUCGAUUGGCGAACGGGUGAGUAACACGUGAGUAACCUGCCCUUGACUUUGGGAUAACUUCAGGAAACUGGGGCUAAUACCGGAUAGGAGCUCCUGCUGCAUGGUGGGGGUUGGAAAGUUUCGGCGGUUGGGGAUGGACUCGCGGCUUAUCAGCUUGUUGGUGGGGUAGUGGCUUACCAAGGCUUUGACGGGUAGCCGGCCUGUGAGGGUGACCGGCGACAUUGGGACUGAGAUACGGACCAGAGUGCAACGGGAGGCAGCAGUGGGGAAUAUUGCACAAUGGGCGGAAGCGUGAUGCAGCAACGCCGCGUGCGGGAUGACGGCCUUCGGGUUGUAAACCGCUUUAGCCUGUGACGAAGCGUGAGUGACGGUAAUGGGUAAAGAAGCACCGGCUAACUACGUG
rnacentral:rRNA from 1 species